AUGAUUAGUUCUUGGUGUGUUCUCUCCCUUUCUUUGGACUUUGGCUUGGCAGAGAGAGAAACCGUCGCCUUAACCGAUUGUGGAGGAAUAACAGAAAGUCAAGACCAAUACUUGGAGAAAAACAAACACAUCUUUCCGGUUAUAUGGAUGAUACUAUCUGCAAUUAAGAGAUUCUUGGAGUCCUUCCUGUUGGAUUCAACCCCCUCCUGUCCAGUGAGGAUGUCCUGUCAGUGUGACUGACGGUGGAGAAACCAGGCGCGGGAGAGGGAGAGGGAAGAGCUUAUUUUGCCCCACAGCCCAAUGUAUGGCUAGAUCCCACUCAACGUUCCAGUUGAGCAAAGCCUCCGGUGAUAUUUCUCCAGGACUGCUUCUACCGAGGGGUCAACCCUGAGAGCCUCAUCUUUGGUAACAACAUAGGAAGGUAUGUCUCCUAACCCUUUGUCAUGUGGACAACAAGAACUAUUUAAUUAUCAUUAAUGAAGUUGCUGGGAUAAUGUUAACUUGCAUUUUCAAAUUGGGGAACAAAAACCUAGUAAUAUAUUUGGUGGCUAAUGAGCAGGGGUGGGAAACUCUGGCCCUCAAGGUCUACUCUCAAAACUUGCUGAGUAGGAACGGGCAAAACAGACGGAUUUUAGGGGAAAAUGCCUCGCAUGUAAUCCUCUAACAGCAGGGGUGGACAACUCUGGCCCUCAAGCUCCACUUUCCAGCAGAGUUUAGCUGCAAUCUUAAUUAAACCUGAAAAAUCAAAAGGAAAGUCUUUAGGAUUAC
ensembl:lncRNA